rnacentral:lncRNA from 1 species
CCUGGAUAGAUUUCAUAUAUUACUGUUCCUUUAAUGAAUAGUAUUAAGGUAAUUAGAAGACUGAUGACUUAGAAAAUUUAGGUGGUGUAUUUGAAGUUGUUUGAACUCAGUGACACUGCUCACUGUACACUAAAAAGUAGAUUAUCCCUUUUGAAAAAGUAUGAUUUGAAAAGACAAUCACUUAAAAUACAUAGCAUAAUUAUAGUACAUUUAAAAUAGACUGGUUGUAUAUAUUGAAUUACAGAGAGAAAUGCAAUAUAACAAUUAAAUCACUGCAUCUUUUGCUGAAAAGUGUCUAUAAAUAUGAUUUUGAAGUAAAUAUCAUUUAAAUCUUUUAAAAUAAUAUGCUAUUUGGCCAGCUUUUCAUCAUCUGUAUUUUCUGAAGUAGAACAUGCUUACAUAAUUCAGGUAUAGACAUGACAAUACUAAUUAUAUAAAUAUCUAUUAUAAUUGCAUUGAUGAUCAUUCAUAUACCUAAGAGAACUAACAUUUUUUCAAUCCUUGUGA